GACGAACGCUGGCGGCGUGCUUAACACAUGCAAGUCGAACGGUGAAGCGCCUUCCUUUUUGGUGGGUGUGGAUGAGUGGCGAACGGGUGAGUAACACGUGAGUAACCUGCCCCCUUCUUCUGGAUAACCGCAUGAAAGUGUGGCUAAUACGGGAUAUUCUGGGUCUGUCGCAUGAUGGGUCUGGGAAAGAUAUUGUUUCGGUGGGGGAUGGGCUCGCGGCCUAUCAGCUUGUUGGUGGGGUGAUGGCCUACCAAGGCGGUGACGGGUAGCCGGCCUGAGAGGGUGGACGGGCACACUGGGACUGAGACACGGCCCAGACUCCUACGGGCGGCAGCAGUGGGGAAUAUUGCAAGAUGGGCGCAAGCCUGAUGCAGCGACGCCGCGUGAGGGAUGGAGGCCUUCGGGUUGUGAACAUCUUUCGCCAGUGAAGCAGGCCUGCCUCGUUUGUGGGUGGGUUGACGGUAGCUGGAUAAGAAGCGCCGGCUAACUACGUG
rnacentral:rRNA from 1 species